rnacentral:lncRNA from 1 species
ACAUCACACAAUUUUGGGACUGGUGUCUGGUUUCUGCUGCCUGAGUUUCCCUUCAGAAAAGAGGUACAGGAUGGAAAAUCAUGACUACUGGAUCUUCUCAGUGAAGCCAUAUGGCAGCCUUUGCCAUGGCAUAUGCAGAUGCCUUUCUUCGGUGAUAUUCCUCAUGCUUUGAGAGGAAAAACAAUAAUAGCUGUAUUCCUUCAAACAGAAACCAAACCCCAGAGGAGGAUGUUUGAAAAGCCAGGAACUACAAGGCAAACGCAAGUCAACAGGAAGGGUCAGAUGUUGUUUGACUUCUUGGCUGAAAAACCUUGUUUUAUUUUUAGGUGGUAGUAUUUACAUAGGUAGUAUGGUAUUUUACUCAAUUUUAUUUUUUAUUCCCUACUUUAAUCCCACUGCCUCAAGUCUUUUUUUAGAUAUGUUUUCCUUAACUACUUGUCACAAAAUUUUAACACUACAAAUAUACUCUAUUUGUUUAUGUACUGUAUGUAACACACACACAUACACAUUUACACACACACACAAAUUCUUUCUAUGUAUGAAGAUUAUAUAUAAUAUUUUCUUACCCCCAGAAUCAAUUUUUAUUUCCUUGGAGACUGUGUUGCUCUAAUGAGAGUACAGAUACACACAAUUCCAACAUGAACGUGCACAUUACUCCAGAUCAGCAGAAUAUCAUUACACGUUUUAGAGGGAUGGUUCCAGCAUAGGAUAGAAAUACUGAAUUCACUCUGGGGGAGCUAUUCUCUGAAAUCUUAAUACUGAGAGAAUCAAAUAUCACACAGACAAUGGCGAGAACAUAUCUGAUCUUUGGACCCCGAUCUACAACUUCUAGCAAUGUGAUGGCCAGAAUGGUCAAGAAUCGGUCAAUGACUGCCUGCAUCCCUAUUUGUAUCUAUUUAUUUUUAUAUAUGGUGCUGAGGAUCGAACCCAGGAUCAAACCCAGUGCCUUAAACGUGCGAGGCAAGCACUCUUCCACUGAGCUACAACCCCAGAUUCCCCUAUUUUUUUAAAAAAAUCCUUGCAUCCAAUCAGGACAUUCAGAAAAGAUUUAUAAGCUUCCCACACCAAUCUUGUAAGAUUCACUGCUUCUUUUGAGCCUACCUGCUGUGUCUCCAUGUCUUCAGAUUCCAAUCAAAGCAGACCUGAAGCUUUCCUCUUUUUCUUUAUAAAGCUUGCCCACUCUCUUCUUCCUGUGUCAAAUGCCAUGUGAUAGUGGCUAAAUCCCUUGCUAGAGUAAAAUGAAAAAAAAAAAUGAGUUUGUUUGCUUUCAUUUGGGUUUUAUUCAUUUUUUUUCUCCACAAUGCAGAAUAUGGAUGCAGCCAUUGGAGAAAAACACGUCUUCAGACAACUUUGAUAAUAAUUAUGUCAUUUCCCUACUCUGUUGUUUUAGCAGUAAGCAUGGCUCAUUUGUUGGUCUCUAUGUUAUUCAAUGCCCCCAAACUAUGUCAUAUUUUAUCAGCCACAUACUCUUAAUAAUUUUGAAUGAUAUUUCUCCACUAUUUGAUUAUAGUAGUCAUAGUAUGCAAUGAUGCUUGGAAAUGCAGGCCAUUGCUAAAAGACUUAGGCAGUCUUUUAAAAAGACCUUAUUAUUGAUUUUUUUAAAUGCUUAUCUGUUAACUUUACUUUGGUGGGGUCCAGAAAAACCAUUCAUGUUCAGAUGGCUACUUUUUGAAGAUUUCAUUAGAAAUGUUUGUCUCUAUUUAACACUUUCUAUCACAUACACCAGAAUUUUAGCAUUAAUAUGUUGGCAAACAAACUCAAAAUGACCUCAAGAGAAUCUGAAGGAUGACCCACAUUUAUUGCAAAGCUUACUAUGCAAGGCAGUGUACUGGAUGAACAAGUCAGACAUAUCACCAGGAUCAUAGUUUACAAAUUCAUUUAUAGCUGCUAAUCCACCCAAGAUUUUUUUAGCAAAGUUCAAGAU